rnacentral:lncRNA from 1 species
AAAGCUGUUUUUUACUUUUUAUCAGAAGCAGAACACUAGAUUUAAAGGCUUUCCAAAGCCUAAUGAAUAAGUCCAGUGUUCUCUAUGUGAGUAUUGCAUACUUAAGGCUGUCAUGUUUUGAUUAAGCAUAAGCUUUAAUAGAUUUGCUGGAAUAAUUAUUAAAACAUUCACGAACUUCAAGGAAGCUUAACUCUGCCAGCAACAGAAAAAGCUUGGGGGUGAAUUUCUCUUUAGAAACUAAAAGAAAACACUGAUUUUUAACUGACAGAUUAUGUCCCCCUAAUUGCAGGCAUUAGAAUAAUUUACCAUUGUGAUAAUGCUUGAAAGUUGGAUUAUAUUACAGACCUGUAAGACGGCAUUAGACUUUGAGUCAAAAGUAUUCAUUCAUUUUUUUGUGUGUAUUUUUGUGUUAAAUUAACAGCUUUAAAAAUGUUUAUGGGGAUACAUAGUAAAACAGCUAUAUGUUCAUGUGUGAGGACUGGAUGAGCAUGUGAAAUACUCC